GUUCGGAACCUUCAUAAAUCAUGCACCUACAGCAUGGUUGAGUCGUUUGUUUAUGUUAAACAACAGGAAGGUUCAGUAGAACAAAGAGAAAAUAUACCACCAAAAAGGUAUUAUGGGUCAUAAAUUUUCAGCCAAGCCAACAAGAGGG
ensembl:ncRNA F29F11.18 ncRNA